GCGGCUUUGAGCGGGGCGACGGGCCCGAAGCGCACGGCCGAGAGGCAGCCGGUGAAGCCGCGCGCGCCGGCCCGCAGAGUGGCGGCGUCGGCGCCCAGGGGCCCUGCGGGCAGAGGAGGGCAGGUCUGGCCCCCGCCCUCACCCCAAGCGGACUGAGGUUGGGCGGCUGAAGAGCAGCGAUUAACUUAGGAGAGCAGGACGAUUCGUCCAUUUGAUGAUGCUGUGACCCCCGAGCAAACCGCCUCCGCGUGAGGGCACUUGGCCUCUGCUGUCAGCUCCCCGCCCCGCCAUGUGUAGCCAGGUCCGUUUCCUCGCCCUUUUCUCUGAGCUGAAACGGCUCCCGCAGGCUGCGCGUUGUGCUGAACGCCUACUGAGGUUAAUACAACUCCUGGGAAAAGCUGCCUCCCUGCACCAGGAGGAAAGAGGAACUACCACAGCCAGAGAUGGGAGUCCAGUCUGAGAGUGAUCUGUCCAUCCAAACCUUGAUAAUAAAUUUGAAGCCAAAUUGUCUUUAAAAAUAUUCUUAUGUCCAUUUCACACUUACUGAUGGCAACUUUCUACCUUGUGUCACAUACAUUUCUGAACAUCCCUCACCUCUCUUGUCAGAAGCUGGAUUCACUGAAGGCUAGACCACUGCUGCUUCUCUGUUAAUCUUCACCUGGUGAAGCUGCCCGUCAGCCAGGUUUUGAAAACCAAAGUUAAAAACAUCAGGCUCGUGAUGUCUGUCUAGCUUAUA